CUGGCCAUGAGGACAUGGACCAUCUGGACGGCGUGCAGUGUGCCCUGAGGAGAGGACUUCCCAAGUCCGUCAUGUGCUGGGGUUUGCCCGUCGUGAGCACGGCGCUGGUGCGUGGCUUCGAGUGUGGACCGCGAGGGAAGACAGAUGUGUCUCUUGCCUGGUUAUAAGCUGGAGCUGGCAAAACGGAGUGAUUUAAUGAAGUUUUGAUACAGUUCAUCAAAUACUGAAAUGGGAAGAUGCAAUAUUAAUUUAGGAACUCAUUAUCAUUUCAAUUGUAGUAGUUUUGAAGAGUGUUAAUAAGAGGAGCUUGUGGCAGUUUGGAAAGAUGAUGCAUUAUUCUAAAGGUGAAAAUAUUCUUCAAAAUUAUGUUUCAUUUGAUACCUAAACAUUGAGCAUAUUCUUGGUAUCACCAUGUAAUCAUUUUUGCCAUGUCUACCAUGCUAAGAGGAUGUCAUCACUUCAGCUGUUCCCUAUGCUGUGCUGCAGGCUUGUGAAGCGACCAAGCAAGAGGACUUGAGGACACUGGGUUGACAACUUUAUUUUUAAUCCUAAAUUCUUCUGUGGAAUCAAGUGACUUCAAACCCCAUUAAUGACAGCAGGACCUCUGCAAUCAAAAGCAGGAUGCAAAUGUGUCAUCUAAGCCGCGCUCCUGCGGUGUCAGGCUGACAUUUAGUGCACGUGGUGCUGACCACCAUUGCUCUGAUGCCUUUAAUCCCUCUGCACUGAACUUAGUGCACCUCGGGGAAAAUGAAUUGCUUCUUGUUCUGCUUAAAUAGCAGCA